AUGAAAAGCUGUAUUGGCUUUUUCUGUUGUUCCACACAACCCAAAAAAGUGUGUUUGUUAGUGGAAGGAAAUUAUUCUCCAGCUUCUGAGAAAGUGCUGUGGAAUAUGCACCAUUUCUGUGUGGACAACGUACAGCAGAUGAGAGCAAAACACAAAGUUCAGGUCAAAGCUUAGGUCGGACCUGUGAUCCGAGGUCUCUUUCUCCAUAGUGCAGACUGUGUGGGCCUUGCAAGAAAAAUGGUGCAGUGUUUAAGACACUGUCUUGGAAAAUAGGACUGUUGUAGUCAGUUCCAUAUUCUACCCCGCUUUUGUCUGGCAGCAGCAGGUUGGAAGAGUUGGAAGUAAACCUUUCUAAAGAAAGUUCCUAGGCAAGACAAGGUUAACAUGAGAAGAGAGUAUCUGAGGAAGAAUUAUAUAGCUCUCCUUUGCUCUAGUCUACCUUAAGAGGCCAAACAUCACAGAAUCAUUUGUGCUGGAAAGGACCUCGUGCUAAAAAGUGUCUGUCAGGCCCCAGGUCACAGGGGAAGGUGCCUCCUAUCAGCUUCUUUCCAUAAUUCAGAAGGGUCAUUGGGUGCCUGUUGCUUAGAAAGGCUCCUGACAAGGCAGGCAUGACAACCAGGUAAUGAAUGCUUUGAAGAACACAAGAAGUUUCACUUUGUUUCAAUCCUUUGGGAUCACAGAAGAGAUGCAGAUAAAGGCAGACAGUUCCAGUAUCAGAAGUGUCCAUAUUAAGUGUUCUGCUGGUAGUACAGAAAUGGAUAACCACAAAACCAGUUUUGUUCCAAAGAGACAUUUAGGACUGCCUUGCUUGGGAACAUGGCUCUUAGGGCAGAUGUCUCCAACAGAGGUAUGGAGGCUUCAACCACUUAAUUCUUUCCAGAUUCAGGAAUUUUUUCUCCUCUGCAGUUUUUGUGAUAAAUCAAGGAAAAAAUUAUAGUUCCAACUUAUAGUAUGGCAAUCUUCUUUACUCUGUCCUGAAAAAAUUCCCAAGCAGGGCUUUCAAGAUUGUGUUCUGAGUAAAUAGCCUCAUUUGUGUAUGAAAUGCUUAUGAAAUCGUACCUCUCCUGUAUACCAGAGGGAUGAUAAUAUUUAUGUCUGCUUUGCUAAUUUUACCUGGACAUAGGAGUCAUACCUUCUGUUCCCUUAGUAUUAGUUAAUGUGUUGACUAUCCUGUUACCAUUAAAUUUCUCUUCCUGGCACACAGCAGGGGACAGCCCUUAAAAUCAUCUGCAUAUUCCAAGUGUGUAUUCUUUAUGAACAACUUCUUAUGAAUAUUUCAGUGUUGAAUGCUAGCUGUUACGUUGAAAGUCUUCCUCAUCACGCUAAUGGCUUUACCAUCUUGUAUCAUUGUAGUAAACAUGACAGUGAUACUUCAUAUACAAUAAAGAAUAGAUACACUUAUAUUUGCUGGUUCUGGAUAUCCAGGAAAAUACUACGUUUAGUACAAUAUUGCUGUAUAUUUUCUGUUCUAGAAAGUGACAGGGAGUUUCUGAAGAGGAAUUAUGCACAGGAAAGGAUAUCCUUGCCUCAAACAAAGUGAAAGCAUAAUCCCAGAAGUCUUCUCUGAGUGUUAGGCAUCUGUCCAGUGUUUUUCUACUGUGCAUUUAAUUGAUCGCAAGGGUCAUCAAGAAUCUUUGCCAGGAUUACAUUAAUUCUAAUUGAACUCCCAGUCCCAAAUCUGAGAUCUUUCCAUUGUUUAUUCACAGAUGUGCUGUCUUAAAAGCAGUCGUGUCACAAAAUCACAGACUAUACACUGGAAAUGACACUUGGAGAAGGAAAGAAUAUAAUCUAAUUCCCUGCUCUAAGAAGGGCUAACUCUGGAGUUAGAUCAAGGUACUAAGGGUUAUUUGAUGUCUCAGGAUUAUGUGCUGUCUUGUACCUAGUUCCUCAAGCUUAGAUAAGUCAGUACACAAGAUCAUUAUCUCCGGGAACACUGCAGAAUCGGUACGUACUUAUCUAAGUGUAGGUGGAAGUAUCAUCAUAUGUGUUGGAGCAAAGCUUGUUAGAAUAUACCAGGGACCGUGGUAUUGAUAUCUCUGGACUUGACAUGCAUGCCCUAGAGAAAAAAUAUCCUUACAGUGAUUCAAGGAUUCACCUUUGUCCGUUUUCUGUUCAUUACUUAGAUAACAAUAAAUGAAUGUUAGAAUAAGUCUCUAUUCUCACUUGAGGGCACCAACAUUGGGAUCUGCAUGCCACUGACUGGAUUCAUCUGUCUUGCCAGGAGGCUCUAUUCAGCCUGCAGUAUUUUUAAGGAAGUGGAAGGUCAUGGUGAAGUCUCAGUCUUUACCUGAGCAGGGCCUGUUCAAUGAAUACUCUCAUUCAAAGCAAAGAAAAUCUUGAGAGCUCUAUUUGCUUUUCCUACCGCAGAUGAAGGAAUGGGCUCCUAGUGAAAGUAUGGAUGGAACAGGAUUUCCAAGAGGUAUUUGAAGAGGAGAGGUGAGAAGCUAUUUCUGGGUUGACUGGUCAACCAUACCCCCUUUUGAAGCCUCACUGACAGAAGGGCUUUGGCAUUGAGAAGGCAACCAUGCAGUGGGGCAUGAGUGAUAGCCACAUCUCUUUCCACCCAGAAAAACAAGAGCCACAGUCAUGCUUGUGCAAACUCACCAGCAAAGGAACGGGCUGGUUCCGAGCCCAGUCCAGUCCACAACAAGAGAACCAGCCCUCCAGUGCACCUCAAACAGUCCACACCAUUAUUGGUUUUCAGCCUCAUCAGUAUUUCUAAUUAAAGAAGGGCUACUAACAUUUGGAAAGUCUCUACACACAAGGUCUUUCCAAACACUCGAUUCUCAUUUCCCUUGGUCUGGAAAUCAUUUUAGAUGUGCCAGCUGGGACUGAGCCCCUGGACUGAUUCCAGCACCUGCACCAAUUCCAGCACCUAUGCCUUGUUCUAUGUCAAAGCGAGCUAGCUGAGCCUGUGGGACACUAUAGUGUGCCCUGAUGCAGGUGGUGCUUGGAAAGGUGCUGCUGGACUUCUGCAAGGAGCUGGAAAGCAACGGUGUCAGAGCUGAGUGGUUUCCAGUCCUUCGGAUGUUUAUUUCCUGGUGAGUGACAGCAGCAGCAGCAGCAGCAGCAGCAGUAGCAGUCACCCCUCCAUGCUUUCAGCAGCAGUUACAGCUCGUGUGUGUUCAAGGGACCAGUCUAUCUUUCCCCACCACCGAGAUGACAGAUCCUGCCAUUAAAACUAGCACUGAUCAAACUUCAGACAGAAGACUCUGAAUGACUUCAGCAACAGCUGGACUUACAAAGGGGCUGGGGAAUGCAACACUGUAUUCACAUAAUCUCUGGAUGAAAUACUAUGCAGUAUAGCAGUUCUCAAGGCAUUUGUAUUCAACACAUAGAAAUAGGAGCUUUUUACUGCUCAUUUAUCCCACCAGUCUUGGACUCCUCUCAGGACAGACUAAAUCAUCUUCCAAAAGUCCCUAAAGACAGAGGAGCUGAACUCCAUCCUCUGGUCAAAGAACAUAAAUUUCUGUUGUAAAGUGGCAUUCCUCAUGAGGGCACAGUAAAAACCCCACAAAUAAAAAGGCUAGUCACAGCCACAGGAUGCAGUCAGAGGAACAAAGGGACCUGAAUGCAAAAAGGGACAAGUAAUCUCAGGAUGAAUCAGGUGAGGAAAGUUUUGUCUUAAAAUUGGGAAAAUAUUAGUACUAUUUUUCAAGAGUAUUGGUAAGAUACUCUCUGGAAAAUUUGUUCACUCAUGUUGGAGAAUUCAUACUUGUGCAUUAGCAAAGCAGGCACCUGGAUGAAAUGGAGAAAAUUGCUCUGGUAGAGCAGACAUGAAGGAGCUUGUCUUGUUUAUCAUAGAAAAAAAAAAAAAAAGCCUGGGAUGUGAUAUGAUUGCUUUUUGGAAAUACAUCAGAGGGCUGAGCACCAUGAGAGGAGAAAGAUAUGUGAACUAACAGCAUCUACAGGAAAUGGAAGAUCAUUAGGUAGAUGGAUAGAUGUAUAAAUAGAUAGUCACUUUCAACGUGACUCUUUCCUGUAGCACUGGUAUCAGAGGCUCAAAGAGUUGGAAGCUGAAACUAGAAAAACUGAAUUCAAAACCAGACGGAAAUUUCAGCUGUGAUGAUAAUUGUAGCAACUUAUCAGUUUACAGUGGAUUCUGUCUCAGUGGAAACUUUGAAAUGAAAAUGGCACAUUUUCUCUAACAGAUACAUUUUUAUUCAUUCCUGGUGCUGCCCUUGAAUCAGGACUAGUUUGUGUGCAUCCUAUGGCUCUUAUUUUGCUGUGCGUCAACUAGGUAAUUCUCAGAGUGCCUGAAGUCUUGCUGCUAUUACUCUGUAUUUUCACUUUAGAGCUCUUUUUAAAUUGCAAGAACAAUGUAGAUCAGAUUCAUUGGAAAUAAAAAUGGGGUCCUAUGCUUUAGAACUUCUGUGAAACAGAAAUACAUUUUUUUAAUCUGUCUUUAAUCUGCUUUCUUGAAUGGUUUUAUUUCAUACAUGCUGAUAGCUCAGCAGAAGGCUGUUGUUAGCUCACAAUAAUAGAUAGCCACUAGGUUAACUUCUGGAAGUAACUUUGGAAACUAUUUUUCAGGCAGUGCUCCAAGAAAAAGAGGCACAUGUUGAGGAACUGACAUAACUUUUUAACACCACAACCAGCAUAUUUCUUCAUGCAAACCCAGCCAAAACAAGUUGCCAAAAUCAAUAUUGACCUAGUCCUUCAUCCAAUCAACAAAUGCCAUUGUUUAUAAGAUAUAACUUUUCUUGGUUAAAGUUCAAAGCAAAAUGCCAAGGAUUUGCAAAACUAUUAAAAUGAGAGGAUUUAGGUUUCCAGAAACUCUGGCUUGCUUUCAGUCUCAGUGGGUAUUCUGAGCCAUCAGAAACUAUCCAAAGAACCUCUGCAGUUUUUAUACAGAACCUAAUGGUGAAAUGACAGCAAAGAGAACGUGAGUGCAUGCACAUGUGUAUAUGUGUGUGAUACAUAUACACAAAAAGGUACUUUACAAAUUAUAUUCUAAAAAAUGGUACUUUGAAUUUUUCUGCAUCACUGAAAUUUAGUUUGAGACUAAGGAAAAAUGAUUAUGCAGUAUGAUUUAAAGAAAUUUGGAGGUUCUCCUGUUUGUUGGUAAAAUAUCUGCUCUUCCAAUCUAUCAAAAUAAAAACUGU